UGGUUUUAUUAAUUGCAUGGAUCUUUAUUGUGAGGUUUAAUUGUGUGUUUCUAUGAACUUUGGUAUGCCCCAUUUGUUUGUUUAAUUGUUCUUAUUCUUGAGUUAAGCUUGAAAGAACCAAGUGAUGCUUGCAAGGAAGGAAAUGUAGGACACUUCGAGUGGUGAUGAUAAGAAUUGGUUGUCGGCAUUUCAAGGUACACUUUAUCGCUUUUUAGACUUAACACGAAUAGUUUGAUGGUGUGUUACAAAUUUCCUAUCAUAAAUUUUUUGAGAUACAUGUCAAUUUUGAAUCAAAGUAGAACUUAACCAAUUGUGAGGUAGCCUUCCAUUGUGUACUAAAUGCGGGAGACCGAAUAUUAUUUCAAUUCAUUCUUAUCAUGCUAAAUCAUGCAUUAGUCUAUUUUUGUGAAAAUUGUGAAAAUGAUAGAGGCAUUGUUUGUUAUUGAGAAAAACCACUUGGCCAAAAAGUUUUGAAUCAACUAACCUUGUGAGGAGUGAU
rnacentral:lncRNA from 1 species